rnacentral:rRNA from 1 species
UACGAAGGGGGCUAGCGUUGCUCGGAAUCACUGGGCGUAAAGCGCACGUAGGCGGAUUCUUAAGUCAGGGGUGAAAUCCUGGAGCUCAACUCCAGAACUGCCUUUGAUACUGAGGAUCUCGAGUUCGGGAGAGGUGAGUGGAACUGCGAGUGUAGAGGUGAAAUUCGUAGAUAUUCGCAAGAACACCAGUGGCGAAGGCGGCUCACUGGCCCGAAACUGACGCUGAGGUGCGAAAGCGUGGGGAGCAAACAGG